UACGUAGGGGGCAAGCGUUGUCCGGAAUCAUUGGGCGUAAAGAGCGUGUAGGCGGCCUGAUAAGUCCGCUGUGAAAGUCCAGGGCUCAACCCUGGGAUGCCGGUCGAUACUGCCGGACUAGAGUUCGGAAGAGGCGAGUGGAAUUCCCGGUGUAGCGGUGAAAUGCGCAGAUAUCGGGAGGAACACCAAUGGCGAAGGCAGCUCGCUGGGACGUUACUGACGCUGAGACGCGAAAGCGUGGGGAGCAAACAGG
rnacentral:rRNA from 1 species